UUUUUGCUGAACCUUACUUCUGAUGAAUAAACCCAAAACUGCCUUGAACCCUGUCUCUACGCAUGAUUUGAUUAGUUUACACCAGAUGAACCUGUUUUCAGUCUGUGCUCUUAAACUGUUAAGGCUCAAACUAUUACUCAUUGUUUGAUUCUGAUCAGGAACAAACAUACACUACAGAUUUGCAGCCAUUAUGUGAGUAAGCUCAGUACUUUUUACUAUUAUCAGCUAUUUAUUGUUAUCUUGUUUUUCUUUUUCUCUCUCUCUCUCUUUUUUUUUUUUUUUUUUUUGAUCAAAAGCUAUUGUCCUGGAUAGAAUUUGUGCUCCAUUAUGGUAGAGCAUGUACAAGUACACAGCAAACGUUGUACCUUCAUUCAGGAGGUCACAGUUUAUUAUCCACACACUUUUUGUGUCUCACAAAAAGAUAAAAAUGCAAUGUAGUUAACAAUGGCAGUUAUACAACUUGCUUGUUUAUUCAUACUAUCAUUUAUUUACAGGCACUUUGUUCCACAGAUGAAAACAGUUUCAGUUCUGAGCUGGUGAAAAAUAAGUUUGUGAAGCCUGGUUUCACUAUAGUGGCUGUAAUCUUGGUUUAAAAUUGCACUGCUGGGGAACAUUUACAUGGUAGAGAUAGUCAGACGCUGCUAUAAAACACUGCCAGUUACAAAUUAAAAGAAUGUCACCUUAACAUUACACUUGUAAAAGCUGACAUUGGAGUUCAGAAAGCCAGGACAGGACCACAAUAAAC
rnacentral:lncRNA from 1 species